rnacentral:tRNA from 1 species
GACCGCGUAGCUCAGCUCGCGGAGCAUUGGACUGGUAUUCCAAAGUUCGUAGGUUUGAUUCCGACCGCUGCCA